GACGAACGCUGGCGGCGUGCUUAACACAUGCAAGUCGAACGGUAAGGCCCUUCGGGGUACACGAGUGGCGAACGGGUGAGUAACACGUGGGGGAUCUGCCCUGCACUUCGGGAUAAGCCUGGGAAACUGGGUCUAAUACCGGAUAGGACUCCUGGCUUCAUGGUUGGGGGUGGAAAGCGUUUGUGGUGGGGGAGGGGCCCGCGGCCUAUCAGCUUGGUGGUGGGUGAACGGCCUACCAAGGGGACGACGGGUAGCCGGCCUGAGAGGGUGACCGGUCACACUGGGACUGAGAUACGGCCCAGACUCCUACGGGAGGCAGCAGUGGGGAAUAUUGCACAAUGGGCGCAAGCCUGAUGCAGCGACGCCGCGUGAGGGAUGACGGCCUUCGGGUUGUAAACCUCUUUCAGCUAUGACGAAGCGCAAGUGACGGUAGUAGCAGAAGAAGGACCGGCCAACUACGUGCCAGCAGCCGCGGUAA
rnacentral:rRNA from 1 species